AUUGAACGCUGGCGGCAGGCCUAACACAUGCAAGUCGAACGAGUGGCGGACGGGUGAGUAAUGUCUGGGAAACUGCCCGAUGGAGGGGGAUAACUACUGGAAAAGGUAGCUAAUACAGCAUACCAUCGGAUGUGCCCAGAUGGGAUUAGAUAGGAGGUGGGGUAACGGCUCACCUAGGCGACGCUCCCUAGCUGGUCUGAGAGGAUGACCAGCCACACGGGAACUGAGACCCGGUCCAGACUCCUACGUGAGGCAGCAGUGGGGAAUAUUGCACAAUGGGCGCAAGCCUGAUUCAGCCAUGCCGCGUGUAUGAAGAAGGCCUUCGGGUUGUAAAGUACUUUCAGCGAGGAUGCGUUACUCGCAGAAGAAGCACCGGCUAACUCCGUGCCAGCCGCCGCGGUAAUAC
rnacentral:rRNA from 1 species